ACUUUUUGAAGCGAAACUUGCUCGCGAAGUGACAUCUUUAUGUGUUUUAUUUUCGUUUCGGUUAAAACCACUUGCACAUCGUCGUUUUUAAAACACGCUCUCGGAUCAUCAUUCUGGCUCUAGUCCAGAAUCGUCUCUCAGAGCUGAACUGAUGUUGGUUCUUUGCUGUAUGGUGCUAUCGAAUCUGCUCUAACACCUCAAGUGCCGGAUCGUUUAUUUGUUUGCGUUAUUGGGAUCUUUUUUUCUACUUCUAUGUACGUGUUCGCGAGUGUUUUAGCAUCGAUUAGAUUAUUAUUAUAGCUACUUACCUACUUAUCGACGACGUGUGUAUGUGUAUUAUACUAAUGCGAUCGUAAUAUGGAUAAAAUGUUACUUGGUUGUGUUUAAAGAAUGUUCGACGCGACUCGAGUGUUUGUUAAGUGGCCUCGGAUAUGUUCUCGUUCAAAUCGAGCAAUAAUACGUUGAAGAAUCGUCCAGUCAGCAAGGAAAUCCAACCGAUGCCGAUCGAUGUCCAAGCACCGGAUAGCCACGGCGAAGAAGACGACACGACGGACGUUAGCUGCGCACCUUCGUUCAAAUGUCAACAACCUUUUAAUAAAUGUAGUCUAGCCAAAGCUUGCGGUAAACAGACAAAAGCCAGUAAAUGUAAUGCUCCAAAUUUAUGCGUAGUCAAGCCUACCACUACGGAGCAAGACUGCUGUACACAUUCCGACGCCUUCCUUCCAGUCAACGAUAAAUAUAGUGCUACCAACGAAGAGACUAUUUAUGUUACUGUCAAGAAAAUCGACGUGUUUAUCGAACGAGACGAAGAGGGUAAUCUGGGAUUAACGCUGCAGGGUGGAGUGCAUCAGAAUCCUCAGUUGAACAGGCCUCUGGUGGUGACUCAUGUCAGACCUGGUGGACCUACUGAUAAAGAAGGCACCAUCCAAGUCGGAGAUCGUCUACUGGCAGUCGAUGGCUAUUCAUUAAGCAACGUCACACUAAACGAAGCUUACAAUGUGCUAAGAACCACCAACAACCAGCCAUCUUCCAGAUUAACGAUAGAAUACGAUAUUACGAAUAUGAAAACUUUCAACGGACCUUUACUCGUUGAAAUGGAAAGUCCUCAUCCUCAUCAGCUUGGACUCACGUUAACCAAUACCCCUCACAAUGCUGCUGUACUAAUUGACGAAAUUAAAACUGCCAGUAUUGCCGAACGGUGUGGAGCUCUUCAUCCAGGUGAUCAAAUCCUAUCUGUAAAUGAUACCAGAAUAGAAGGCUCAAGGAUGCCAGCGACUGAAGUGUAUAAAUUGCUGCGAAUUUGCGGCGGCACUCAUUCUAACCUUUUGCUGCAGAUUUUACCAGCUUCUGCUUUCAUUCAGAAUCAACCAAAGACGCAGACGUCUUUUGACUCGAUGUAUCAUAAUUAUUACGAAGUUCCUAACGAGUAUUUAGUUCCUCAUAAUGUUCUCCAUAAUGAACCAGUUUCUAAAAAUGGUAAAACGAAGCGAUUAGCCAUUGCAUUACAUUCCGACGAUAGAUUAGGUUACGGGUUAUCAAUUCAUUCUUUACCAAAAUUCGGUGCACCGGUUAUAUCAUCGAUUACGCCGGGAGGACCUGCAGAUCUAUGCGAUUGUCUUCAAGUGAACGAUCGAAUAUUAUCCAUAAAUGGUAUGCCAAUUGCCGGUAUCACCAGUGAACCUCAACCUCUUCACAGAGUACCUGGAGUUGCCUUGGGUAUGAUCGAACUCGAAGUAGAAUAUGACGAAUUCAAACCUUAUAUGACUUAUUGUGACAACACUGUCACGUUAGAAUUGACCAAAUAUAAUAAGAAAAAUUUAGGAAUUACAAUGACUGGCAGUAGCGAAUGUAUGUUGAUAUCAGACAUAAAACCAGGCUCGGUAGCUGAUCGAUGUGGGGUAUUUUCCAUCGGUGAUAAAAUUUUAUCCAUUAAUCAUCAAGUUCUAGCCAAAUGCUCGGUCCAAGAAGCUUUAAGUAUUCUGCAUUCGUCUUCGGAUACUGUAUCGUUACAAGUUGAGAAACAAUUCGUCGAAACAUCCUCAAAUAGUGAAAAUGUCGAAUACACUGUGCAGUUAAACAAACAAAAUGGACCUAUCGGUAUAACCAUUACUGGAUCGGAAGUAAUUCCUAGAAAAAUAACUAUUUCAGCGCUUACUCCUGGAGGUUUAGCAGAAAAAACCGGAGCUCUACAUGUCGGCGACCGUGUUUUAGAAAUAGACGAUCACGACGUCCGUAACGUAUUACUUUCCGAAGCGAUUACGUUGUUACAGAACACCGGCGAUAAAGUAUUAUUUAAAGUAUGCCGAAACACUCCAUCGAGCUACGAGAAUUUUACUGCAGAUGACGUACAUAAUCGAAUCUACGGAAGCCCCGGAUUACUUUCCGAUGAUUCAGCUGUUGAAUCGUGGGAAAGUUCAACGCAACGUGACGUGUCGCCCAACGAUACACCUUUUCAGCACAUACAGCAGCAUAUUUCCGAAGAAAAUGAACAUAUCAUACCGAACGUUAUUAUUCCGCAAAAUAACACCAAGAUACGAUUAGACGAGCCGGUAUAUUCGAAUAUUCCUUUUCACGCCGCUAAUAAUAAUGUUAAUCAUCAGUAUACGCUGCCUUAUUAUAACAGAAUUCCUUUCCAUGAAAAUUAUAAACUUUUAUCAAAUAUUGAUAUGAGAAAUCAACGUGUUUUGAUGAGCUCAUCCUACGCUGACGAUUAUAAUAACACGUUCUCGAAUGUCGAUGAGAUAUUCAGUAUUGCUGAUUUCCAUGAAAACGAGAUCGCUGAUUCGACGUCAAAAAUACACCAGGUUGUUUUAUUUAAAGAUCCGUUGUACGAAGAUUUCGGAUUUAGCAUAUCAGAUGGUUUAUACGAACGAGGGGUGUUUAUAAAUCGUAUCAGGCAGGGUGGUCCUGCUGAUAAACGUGGAGUGUUGCAACCCUUCGAUAGGAUUCUUCAAGUAAACAACACCCACACCGAAGACUUCGACUGCUGCCUAACCGUACCGCUGAUUGCAGCAGCCGGUGAAAAAAUCACGUUAACGGUGAAACGAAAAAACCGAGCUCCAUCGGUCGAUUCGCGAGUUAGUCAGUAAUACGUAUCCCGCUAUUACGCUGAUUCGGCGCUAUAUAACCACCCACACAAAGCUUUGAAGCUUUUGGCUUUUGUUUUAAUACGUAACAUCGUCAUACCAAUAGUAAAGUUGUUCCUUGGAUGGAGAAAGCACCCAAAGUUCCGCCAAAUAGGCAACUUGUUAAGAAACUCAGCACUACUCACACAAUUUAGAGAAUAAUUCGUCCUAUGUUAGGAUGAUGAUUGCUUUACGAAGAACUACGAAAAUACGAAUUUUGCGGUAACCAGCAACGAUGAAGAUGUAGUUAUUAUGUAAAUUUUGUACACUUUUGUACAUGUUAAUUUAUAAAGCGCGACGAGAGGGAUACUAUAAUGUGUACGAGUGUGAAAAUCCAUCGUCGUCGUGCGUUGCUUCUCUCGUCGAGAAUUUUGUAAGUAUACAAUUUAAAAUAAAUUAAAAUUGUUGCGUA